rfam:Triticum aestivum genome assembly, contig: Triticum_aestivum_CS42_TGACv1_scaffold_097327_2AL
CAACUACUCCCCCUGUCCCAAAUUUCUUGUCUUAGAUUUUUCUAGAUACAGAUGUAUCUAAUACUAAAAUGUGACUUGAUACAUCCGUAUCUAGACAAAUCUAAGACAAGAAUUUUGGGACGGAGGGAGUACUUU